GCAUGCCUAGAUGGGCCAGCCUUGUGAAUCAUCAGAAACUUAAGCCCAAGGAGGGCCCAAUGGGCCCAAGCCCUCAACGGUCCAGCCCACAUUCAUUUGCACGUGGAGUGCUCCUCCGUCUCUCCCCCGUCCUGUUCCGCAGCUUCCGCCUCCUGGAACUGGAAGUAGAUCGAGCGCCUCCUCUCGUCUGCUCCGCCUCCGCCUCCGCCUGCCUGAGCCUGACCGCGCCUCCCGUUCGCGUUAGAUUCCCCAUCACAUCUGGCCCUCUCCAACCCUAACAUCCCAAUCCACUGACGAGGGCAGCUGGCGACACCGCGGCGGGCCUGUCGCUCGCUUCUGCCCCUCACCGCCGAGGAGCUGCACUGCUGCAGCAGCCGUGCGUCCCCUGGAGCGCCGGCCGGCCGUCCGCCCGCGGACCGGGAGGCACCGAGCAGCCAAACUGCUGCGGGCUGCUGCGCCUGCGCAUCUACGACGACCGCAGUCAAGGAGGAGCUGACAAGGUUUCAGUGUCGGACAACAAUUUUCUGUAUCCUCCAAUCGCUUGCCUGCAGUGACACAUCCACUUUGCGCAAUUUCUCGCUUUUUGACCCCGUUGUCUUUAAUGAGCACAAUUUCACAAAUAAUCGUUGGGAAAUCAAAGCCCUUCUACAUUGCCAAAAGUUCUUUCCCUGGAAACAAAUGUAUCCUUUCAAUUCCAAUCCCACACCUUUCCCAAUGCCAUAUUCCCCUCCUCCUCUCCCGUGCAAUCGUUUCGGGUCUUCUCCUCAAGCUACCCCUUGUCCACUCUGUCCUUCGAUCUCUCUCCUCAGGUCCUGUCCCAUCUCUAUCCCUCUCCUUCCUCUCCCUGCUCCGCCACUCUGGAUAUAUGACCCUUGAUAACUACUCCCUCAACAUUGCUCUCUCUGCCACUGCUCGCCUCCCAUCUGUUUCUGUUGGUGCGCAGCUUCAUUCCCUUUCUGUCAAACUCGGUUUGGUUUCUGAUACAUUUGUCCUUAAUUCUCUUAUCAACAUGUACUCAUCUUGUAGCUAUCCAGCUACUGCAAGACUAGUUCUUGACUCUGCUCCCCAAGGAGCUUGUGAUGCAGUUUCUUGGAACACAAUAAUUGCUGGAUACCUACGAGGUGGGAUGCCCAAUAAAGCUCUGCAGGCUUUUGGUGAAAUGGCCAAGGAGCAAGUUAGGCUGGAUGAUGUCACAUUGCUGAAUGCGCUCGUUGCUUCUGCCAGGACAGGCACAGUGAAGGUCGGGAGGCUGUGUCAUGCUUUAGCUCUGGUGAAUGGGGUUGGAAUCAAUUGUUAUAUGGGAUCCUCUCUGAUUAGUAUGUAUGCAAAGUGUGGACUGGUUGAAGAUGCUCGCAAGGUGUUUGAUGGAAUGCAUGAGAGAAAUGUGGUUUGCUGGACAUCAAUGAUUUCUGGGUACACACAGUUGGGUAAGUUUAAAGAGGCUGUUGAGCUUUUUAGGGACAUGCAAAUUUCUGGAAUGGAGGCUGAUGACGCUACUAUUGCUACUGUUGUGUCUUCAUGCGCCCAAAUGGGAGCACUUGACUUAGGAUGUUAUGUUCAUGCUUACUGUGACGUUCAUGGUUUAGGGAAGGAGCUUUCUGUGAAGAAUUCACUGAUUGAUAUGUACUCAAAGUGUGGGGAUAUAAAAAAGGCUUAUGAGAUAUUCAGUGGGUUGACCAAGCGAGAUGUGUUUUCUUGGACGGCAAUGAUAAUGGGCUUUGCUGUUAAUGGCCUCUGUGGUGAAGCACUAGAUUUGUUUGCUCAGAUGGAAGGAGAGGGUAAGGUUAUGCCAAAUGAGGUCACUUUCUUGGGUGUCCUUACUUCUUGCAGCCAUGGAGGGUUACUGGAACAAGGGUACCAUCACUUUCAGCGUAUGUCCAUGGUCUACCAUCUUACACCGAGGAUCGAACACUAUGGAUGCAUGGUUGAUCUCUUGGGCCGUGCAAAACUUUUGACAGAGGCGGCACAGUUUAUUAAAGAGAUGCCUAUUGCUCCAGAUGUGGUAGUAUGGCGGUCGUUGUUGUUUGCCUGCAGAGCUUGUGGAGAGGUAGGACUUGCAGAAUAUGUAGCAGAAAGGAUCCUAGAAUUGGAGCCAAAAAAGUGUGCAGGGCAUGUUUUACUUUCUAAUGUCUAUGCUACUACAUCAAGGUGGGGUGAUGUGAAUAAGUUGCGGACAUCUAUGGAUGGCAGUAGGAUGAGUAAGCAGCCUGGUUGCUCAUUCAUUGAAGUGGACGGAUGUGUGCAUGAGUUCUUUGCAGGAGAUGAAUCACACCUUGAGACAGAAGCUAUAUAUAAUAUUCUUUUGGGGAUUAAUGAGCUAUUGGUAGCAGAGUCCUUACUUGCAUGAAAGUUAAGAUAUUUUUGUGGCAACUAGAUAGACAGAUUUCAAAUGUACGAUGCUAUGAUUUGAUAUGGAGUGGAAAGAAUGUUCAAUGUUUACAUUUUUUUUUAUUUCUUCAGGAGGGCUAUGCCAAUCACUGGAAUAUAAACAAGCAGGGGUCUCUGAUUAAAAUAAGUUUUUGGCCUAUUCCCAAAUUGAAGAAUUCACCUGAACGGAGUAAUGGAUCGGAAGAAUCGA